UACGUAGGGGGCAAGCGUUGUCCGGAAUCAUUGGGCGUAAAGAGCGUGUAGGCGGCCAGAUAAGUCCGCUGUGAAAUCUCGAGGCUCAACUUCGAGCUGUCGGUGGAAACUGUCUGGCUAGAGUCCGGAAGAGGAGAAUGGAAUUCCUGGUGUAGCGGUGAAAUGCGCAGAUAUCAGGAAGAACACCCGUGGCGAAGGCGGUUCUCUGGGACGGUACUGACGCUGAGACGCGAAAGCAUGGGGAGCGAACAGG
rnacentral:rRNA from 1 species